GAUGAACGCUGGCGGCGUGCCUAAUACAUGCAAGUCGAGCGAACAGAUGAGGAGCUUGCUCCUCUGACGUUAGCGGCGGACGGGUGAGUAACACGUGGAUAACCUACCUAUAAGACUGGGAUAACUUCGGGAAACCGGAGCUAAUACCGGAUAAUAUAUUGAACCGCAUGGUUCAAUAGUGAAAGACGGUUUUGCUGUCACUUAUAGAUGGAUCCGCGUCGGAUUAGCUAGUUGGUAAGGUAACGGCUUACCAAGGCGACGAUGCGUAGCCGACCUGAGAGGAUGAUCAGCCACACUGGAACUGAGACACGGUCCAGACUCCUACGGGAGGCAGCAGUGGGGAAUAUUGGACAAUGGGCGCAAGCCUGAUCCAGCCAUACCGCGUGGGUGAAGAAGGCCUUCGGGUUGUAAAGCCCUUUUGUUGGGAAAGAAAAGCAGCAGGUUAAUACCCCGCUGUUCUGACGGUACCCAAAGAAUAAGCACCGGCUAACUUCGUG
rnacentral:rRNA from 1 species